rnacentral:rRNA from 1 species
UCGAUUGAGUUUGAUCAUGGCUCAGGAUGAACGCUGGCGGCGUGCUUAACACGUGCAAGUCAAGGGGGCCCAGCAAUGGGCAACCGGCGAACGGGUGCGUAACACGUGAGCAACCUACCCAGGUGUGGGGGAUAGCCGUCCCAACGGACGGGUAAUACCGCAUACGCUCUUCUUUAGGCAUUUAGAGAAGAGGAAACCUUCGGGGCACCAUGAGGGGCUCGCGGCCUAUCAGCUAGUUGGCGAGGUAACGGCUCACCAAGGCUACGACGGGUAGCUGGUCUGAGAGGAUGGCCAGCCACAUUGGGACUGAGAAACGGCCCAGACUCCUACGGGAGGCAGCAGUGGGGAAUCUUGCGCAAUGGCCUAACGGCUGACGCAGCGACGCCGCGUGAGGGAUGACGCUCUUCGGAGUGUAAACCUCUUUUGCCCGGAACGAAUUGCCACCAUCAGGUGGCUUGACGGUACCGGUUGAAUAAGCACCGGCUAACUCCGUGCCAGCAGCCGCGGUAAUACGGGGGGUGCGAGCGUUGUCCGGAAUCACUGGGCGUAAAGGGCGCGUAGGUGGCGUGAUAAGGGUGUGGUGAAAGCCCGGGGCUCAACCCCGGGUCU